rnacentral:tRNA from 1 species
GAGGGUAUAGCUAAGUGGUACAGUGCAUGCCUAGUAUGCACAAGGCCCUGGGUUCAAUCCCCAGUUCCUCCA